GGUGCUGUGGCUUGUUGGUUGAAGCACCUCUCUUAUAAACAAGAGAUCCUGGGUUCAAAUCCCAGCAGUGCCU